AUUGACCGAAAACAUCUAAAGCUCCACGAGGCACCGGCAGGGGGUGAUGGCGAACUCUGCUGUAUUCUGUCACCACAACUUUCUCUCACCCUUUCUUUCUGUUUCUGUUUUACCUGUAUUUCAAAGGGCCAGCCUAGUCCCAAUCUGUGUCACGCUGAAUCUCCCCGAGAACUAUGUUAAGGGUCCACAUGUCAG